UACAGAGGGUGCAAGCGUUGCUCGGAAUCAUUGGGCGUAAAGCGAGUGUAGGUGGCUUUGUAAGUCAGGAGUGAAAGCCCUGGGCCUAACCCAGGAAGUGCUUUUGAUACUGCAAAGCUUUGAAUGUGGGAGAGGAUCGUGGAAUUCCAGGUGUAGUGGUGAAAUGCGUAGAUAUCUGGAGGAACACCGGUGGCGAAGGCGGCAUCCUGGACCAAUAUUGACGCUGAGGAGCGAAAGCCAGGGGAGCAAAGCGGGAUUAAGAUGACCCUAGUA
rnacentral:rRNA from 1 species